rnacentral:rRNA from 1 species
GACGAACGCUGGCGGCGUGCUUAACACAUGCAAGUCGAACGAAGAGCGAUGGAAGCUUGCUUCUAUCAAUCUUAGUGGCGAACGGGUGAGUAACGCGUAAUCAACCUGCCCUUCAGAGGGGGACAACAGUUGGAAACGACUGCUAAUACCGCAUACGAUCUAAUCUCGGCAUCGAGGAUAGAUGAAAGGUGGCCUCUACAUGUAAGCUAUCACUGAAGGAGGGGAUUGCGUCUGAUUAGCUAGUUGGAGGGGUAACGGCCCACCAAGGCGAUGAUCAGUAGCGGGUCUGAGAGGAUGAACGGCCACAUUGGGACUGAGACACGGCCCAGACUCCUACGGGAGGCAGCAGUGGGGAAUCUUCCGCAAUGGACGAAAGUCUGACGGAGCAACGCCGCGUGAGUGAUGACGGCCUUCGGGUUGUAAAGCUCUGUUAAUCGGGACGAAAGGCCUUCUUGCGAAUAGUGAGAAGGAUUGACGGUACCGGAAUAGAAAGCCACGGCUAACUACGUG